AUUGAACGCUGGCGGCAUGCCUUACACAUGCAAGUCGAACGGCAGCAUGAUCUAGCUUGCUAGAUUGAUGGCGAGUGGCGAACGGGUGAGUAAUACAUCGGAACGUGCCCUGUAGUGGGGGAUAACUAGUCGAAAGAUUAGCUAAUACCGCAUACGACCUGAGGGUGAAAGUGGGGGACCGCAAGGCCUCAUGCUAUAGGAGCGGCCGAUGGCUGAUUAGCUAGUUGGUGGGGUAAAGGCUCACCAAGGCGACGAUCGGUAGCUGGUCUGAGAGGACGAUGGGCCACAUUGGGACUGAGAUGCGGCCAAGACUGCUGCGGGAGGCAGAAGGGGGGAAUAUUGCACAAUGGGCGGCAGCCUGAUGCAGCAACGCCGUGGGCGGGAGGACGGCCUUCGGGUUGGAAACCGCUUUCGCCUGUGACGAAGCGUGAGUGACGGUAAUGGGUAAAGAAGCACCGGCUAACUACGUG
rnacentral:rRNA from 1 species